UACUCUCACAUGCUGAUGUAUAUAUUAUAAUACAAUCAUAAGCUACUUACUACAUCUAUACUCUCACAUGCUGAUGUAUAUAUUAUAAUACAAUCAUAAGCUACUUACUACAUCUAUACUCUCACAUGCUGAUGUAUAUAUUAUAAUACAAUCAUAAGCUACUUACUACAUCUAUACUCUCACAUGCUGAUGUAUAUAUUAUAAUACAAUCAUAAGCUACUUACUACAUCUAUACUCUCACAUGCUGUUACUUUUAUGUUCAUAAUCAUUCUUCGCCCUCCCUCCAUCCCCUUAUCCUGUAUGUAAACUUUAAGCAUUUUCUUAAGCUACUGUUACUCAGUUGGACAAAUGAGGCAUCAAGAACUAAGGCCUUUAGUUGAAUUUGAAGUUUGUCUUGAUUAUUACAAUCUACUGUUCCUUAUAAGACUCUCAAAUUUCUCUCCCCAACAUUUAUCUUUUCCUUUCCUCUUCAGAAUUUAUUAAGUCCAUUUAUUUUAGUUUCUUGAGUAAAGAUGUAAAAUUCAGAGUGAAGACAACAGAGUCCAAAUUUAUGUAUCCCAAUUUAAAAAUCAUUUGCAACAUUAAGAUGGAGGGAUAGGAAGCCCUGGUUCUUGUUCCACAGAAGCAGUGACUUAACAUCCACCCGUGGCUCACAAAGCUUUAAUGAGAAUGGUUGUGAUCAGCCAGGGAGUCACAGCACCCAGACCACUCAAGCAAGAGCAGCCACAUGAACCUGAGUAAGCAAGUCGAUUCAUUUUAAGUACCACAUCCCUUCCCCCAAAGUCAGCACAGCUCAGAUCUCCCUUGGGAGGAAGGAGAAGGAAUCAUAAGGACACUUUCCAGAUUUUAAGAAGGGUUGCCUAGGCAGGAACUGGAUCGGUCCAGAGUGACAGGAGAGCUCCUAGGGAGCUGAUGUCUUUUGGAUGUGGGCAGAUGGCAGGAAUUGAAGAAAGAAGAAUUUAAACGCUGGUUGAUCCAGAGCUCAGAGACCUGGCAUUGCCACGAAGGAAGGCACGGCACAAUCAGAAGUGCCUGGGGAAGCCAGAAGAGGGUGUUGGAUCUCCUGGGACUUGAAAGAGAGGCAACUGAUGUGGGUGCCUGAAAUAGACUAUGGGUCUGGUCUGCAUAGCAUUGGUGGUAUGGUGAGCCAAGCACUCUGGAGCUGCAGUUUCCUUGUACUCAACUACUGAGGAAUUCUUGGGAAGAAGCUGCUGAGUCAUUGCUCUGUGACUGAAUCUAUAUACAAGAGAUCCAAUGAUACACAGACUCUCCAACCUCAACAUGUUCAAAGAGAGUGGAGGAAAGGGCACAAAACAGAAUCUCUCUGGCUGUUCUUUAUGUUGGCCUCCUGACCAGGACUGAAUGACUCAGGGGUGAGGGUCCAUCCAUUUGCCUACAACCACUCUGGAAAUCAUUCUGGCGGUUCCUCAGAAAAUUGGACAUAGUACUACCGGAGGAUCCAGCAAUACCUCUCCUGGGCAUAUAUCCAGAAGAUGUUCCAACAGAAAUCACCCAUUCCAGUGUGGCUACAAGCUAAUGGCUCCCAAGUUUUGGCCAUGAACAAAUUUGGAAGAUAAUUUUUGACCAUAGGUCACUGUGCUUUGGAGUAUGUUGUGUGGAAAGACAUUAAAGAAGUGAACGGUGCUGAUGUGGCAAAAUUGUUCCACCCUUAUAGACAAUUCAUAGAACAUGCUCCUCAGUUUAUCUUCUCUUAUAGGCUUAAUAACAAGGAAGUGGAAGUCCUUAUACUGCUUUACAAGGCUCAUGACCUGGAAUUCUUGCACAGGAGGAACUCCACCUUUCCUUGUGCUUGUCAAGCAAAAUUUGUGAAUUAUUGUCCAGAUGCCACAAUCUAAGAGAAGAGAAAGCAUGCAGCCCAGGUUGAUUUGGAGCUCACUUGAAGGCCCAUACUCAUUCAGUUUCAGGAAGAGGCAGGAACCCGCCCAGCUGAUGCCCCAAUGCUCCUCCUACCUGCGUCCUCCCCACCCUGCAGUGCCAGGGCCAGACCCACACAAAGGCAAUGAGAGCCCACCAUGCGCCCUGAACUCUUGCCCUGCUGACUUCUAUUGUGAACAGCAGGCAAUGGGAUCCAGAAGAGGCUGUAAAUUUCCAGAUGUUCCCACAUAGUUAACAGAGACUGAGGAAUGACACUCAGUUAUUAUUCUCUGCUAUGGUAAGCAGUCAUAAAUCAAUAUAAAAGGUAAAAACCAUAAGAUCUGAGUUACAGUAUUUGCAUGUUUUGAUAUAUUUUGUUAUUGUUCAUUCCCUCCUUAUUCAUAGACAUAAAAAUCAAAAAGUCGAGGAACAGUGGUACACUCUUAUAACCCCAGCACUCAGAAGGCUGACAUAGAAAAUAGACAGUUCUAGGCCAGCUUGUGCUACAUGGGUGAGUUUUGUGACCAACCUGGGCUAUAUGAGAUAAAACAAUUAAAAACAAAACACCCAUGGAAGGA